rnacentral:antisense_RNA from 1 species
GAGAGGGGAAAGAGGGUCUGAUUUUUUAACGAAGGGAAAGAAAAUAUGCCAUUUCUAGCGCUUCAGCCACACAAAGAAAGCGGCGGAAUGAUCCGCUCUCGGCGACCGCAAGUCCCGGCUCGCCCGGCGCCUGCGCGGCAGCGGGGGUGGGAGCUGCGGACGGCCAUGUGCGCGGCGGAGAGGCCGGGUGGCCACCGAACCUUCCCGCCUGUUCUGCGGUGGGUAGGAGUUUGGAAACUAAUGUUCCUGUGCUAACCUUCGUGUCUCUGUGACAUGACUGUUGAAAGACGGAGAGUGCGGAAUCUUUGGAGUUUAAGCUUGCCAACUGUGCGGCCUAGCAGAAUCCUGGGAGACGGAAGGACAGCCAAGAGGCUAGGAUUUACCUUUAAGUGUCCCUAGAUUCAACUAGGCAGACUGGGACGGGAGACGCUGUGAAGGGGCGUCUGGGCAUGGCUUUCCCAACCUAGUAACUGCAACUUCUAGCAUCCUACAUGUAGGACUUGGGAAUAUGUGAGACAGCGCCAAGAAUUUAAUCCAGGAGAAUUGACAAGCUUAAAUGAAAUCCAUAUUGCCCACUGAUUUUGUGCAGCUUCAGAUAAGUAAUCUUUCUCCACUUAGCCUUUUGUAACAAUUGAUGUAAUAAAGGUUUGUAGUCUUUGCGUAAUUUAUUAAAGCAUUGUGCCUAAAAUAGAAAAAAAGCAUAGGAAC